rnacentral:rRNA from 1 species
AAAGCUAGCCCAAACACCCACAAACCCAACUAACACUAGAAAAUAAAACAAAACAUUUAAUUACUUUAUAAAAGUAUAGGAGAUAGAAAUUUAACUUGGCGCUAUAGAGAAAGUACCGCAAGGGAAAGAUGAAAGAUAAAAUUAAAAGCAUCACACAGCAAAGAUUACCCCUUGUACCUUUUGCAUAAUGAAUUAGCUAGAAUGAACCUAGCAAAGAGAACUUCAGCUAGACCCCCCGAAACCAGACGAGCUACCCAUGAACAAUCUAUUACAGGAUGAACUCAUCUAUGUUGCAAAAUAGUGAGAAGAUUUGCGGGUAGAGGUGAAAAGCCUAACGAGCCUGGUGAUAGCUGGUUGCCCAGAACAGAAUCUUAGUUCAACUUUAAACUUGCCUCAAAACCCCCUAAAAUUCCAAUGUAAGUUUAAAAUAUAGUCUAAAAAGGUACAGCUUUUUAGAAUUAGGAUACAGCCUUUAUUAGAGAGUAAGCAUACAACACAAACCAUAGUUGGCUUAAAAGCAGCCAUCAAUUAAGAAAGCGUUCAAGCUCAACAAUCUAAAACAUCUUAAUGUCAAAAAACGCAACUAACUCCUAACUUAAAACUGGGCUAAUCUAUUUAACAAUAGAAGCAAUAAUGCUAAUAUGAGUAACAAGAAAUACUUCUCCCUGCAUAAGCUUAUAUCAGAACGGAUAACCACUGAUAGUUAACGGCAAGAUACAUAUAACCUAACCAUAGAUAAAAUAUCAAACUAACUGUUAACCCAACACAGGCAUGCAAAUUAGGGAAAGAUUAAAAGAAGUAAAAGGAACUCGGCAAA